rnacentral:rRNA from 1 species
UACAGGGGGUGCAAGCGUUGCUCGGAAUCAUUGGGCGUAAAGGGUGCGUAGGCGGUUUGUCGCGUCUGCCGUGAAAGUCCGGGGCUCAACUCCGGAUCUGCGGUGGGUACGGGCAGACUAGAGUGAUGUAGGGGAGACUGGAAUUCCUGGUGUAGCGGUGAAAUGCGCAGAUAUCAGGAGGAACACCGAUGGCGAAGGGAGGUCUCUGGGCAUUACUGACGCUGAGGAGCGAAAGCGUGGGGAGCGAACAGG